rnacentral:sRNA from 1 species
UACAGACUAAAGGCAAGGGAGCUUCCGG